UUAUGUGGUUGUAGCACAGAGGUGAGGUGCCACACACUUUUAAACAACCAGAUCUCAUGAUAACUCUAUUAGGAGACAGCACUAGAGGGAUGAUAUUAAA